rnacentral:rRNA from 1 species
AGUGAACGCUGGCGGCGUGCUUAACACAUGCAAGUCGAACGAGAACGGGUUAUAGCUUGCUAUAAUUGUCAGCUAAGUGGCGCACGGGUGAGUAAUGUAUAGGUAAUAUGCCUCUUACUAAGGGAUAACAAAUGGAAACGUUUGCUAAUACCUUAUACUCCUUAUUAACAGAAGUUAAUAAGGGAAAGAUUUAUUGGUAAGAGAUUAGCCUGUAUUGUAUCAGUUAGUUGGUGGGGUAAUGGCUUACCAAGACUAUGACACAUAACUGGUUUGAGAGGAUGAUCAGUCACACUGGAACUGAGACACGGUCCAGACUCCUACGGGAGGCAGCAGUGGGGAAUAUUGCACAAUGGACGGAAGUCUGAUGCAGCAACGCCGCGUGGAGGAUGACACAUUUCGGUGCGUAAACUCCUUUUAUAUGAGAAGAUAAUGACGGUAUUAUAUGAAUAAGCACCGGCUAACUCCGUGCCAGCCGCCGCAGUAA